rnacentral:lncRNA from 1 species
CGGGGCUCCGGGGUGAGGUGCCCCUGGGUUCCAUCCCUGGUGUCCUCCCCCCCCAAAUAAAAGAUGGCGGCCGCGAGAGCCCAGCCCUUACCCUGCCCAGCUCAGGUCCCCCUGAGCCCCACGUGUGGUGACAGGGACACUCGGUGAGGGGCUCUGAGACUUCAUGGGGCUGCUGCUGCCCAUCUGUGGCUGCCGUAAAAUCGUCCCCUCAGUCCUUAGCCUCAGGUACACAAGGUCAAGGAUGAGUCCCAGAGAGUCCCCUGCAUCCUGGGGAUCCCCUCUGGGCCCUGAGGUGGCCAUUCUGACUUCUGGGGUGAUCUGAGAGGAUUCCCGGGGGGGGGCGUACUGCUGAGGUCAGCAGAAUAUCAAUCCCAUCCUCCCUGGGCCCCCCCAAACUGGGGCCUUUAACCUAGGAAAUGAGGCUGACAAGGACCCCCCAGUCCCGGACCCAGGCCUGACAACCUUCACGACAAGACUCUAGCCUCUAAGCUAAGCCUCUACUCUUCCAGCAGCCUCUUGAGAGAGAUUAAUGGUGUUGAGUGGGACCUGGGCUGAUAUUCAUUUUUUGGGGGGUACCAGGGAUUGAACCCAGGGUCCCUCGACCCCUGAGCCCCAUCCUCAGCCCUAUUUUAUAUUUUAUUUAGAGACAGGGUCUCGCUGAGUUGCUCAGGGCCUUGCUCAGUGGCUGAGGCUGGCCUCCACCUUGCGAUCCUCCUGCCUCAGCCUCCAGAAUCUCUGGGAUCACCGGUGGGCACCACCGUGCCCGGCUUCUCCAGUGACCUUUCAAUGGUGCCAAUGAGGUGUCACCUUUGGGUACACUGAGAAAGGACUCUCUUGAAGUGUUGUCUCCCUGUUUGGUUCUAAACCAAGAUUCCCCCAUGAAGCUCCGUUGCUAUAACAAAGCGCCCGAGACCGUUCGACUGUAAAAGACGAAAGGUUUAUUGGGGCUCAGAGUUUUGGAGGUUCAUCGUCUGUUGACCCCACUGUCCCUGGGCCUGUGGUGGGAGCCUUGGGGAAGGGAGCAGCCAGGACAGGAAAGAGACAGACAGGGGGAGAGACUGGUGCUGUCCCCACUACCUUCAGGGGCGUGUCCUCAGUGACCUGAAACCUUCCACCAGGCCCCGCCUCUUAAAGGCAUCUACCACUUCUCCACAGAGCCAAGCUGGGGACCAACUCUUGAACACGGGGACCCUUGGGGGACGACGUUGUAGAUUCUGAAACGUUGACCAGAGUCACCUGGAGGCUGGGCCAGGGCUGGAGGCUGUGCUUUCAAGAUGGCGCACCCAACAGGGCCCGCGGAUGGGAGUUGCUCGACCUCAUCACGGCGGCGGGGGGGACGGUCUCUGGAUCUGUUCAAGGGUUCCCGUGACACAGCCCCAGACCCAGUGACCUGAGCGAACAGAAGGCAGAAGCCACCGUGUCCCUUGUGGCCUGACCUCAGAAGUCACACUCUGCCGUUUCCUGUUGGUGACACACAUGGGCCCCAGGGAGUGGGCAGGGGGGCCAUCCUGGAGGUGGUUACCUUUACCUCGCCUCCUCCUUCUCCUCCUUCUCCUCCUUCUCCUCCUUCUCCUCCUUCUCCUUCUUCCUCAGAAAGGGACCUCACAGCCAGGCACAAGUGACGCCCACACCUGUCAUCCCAGCAGCUCGGGAGGCUGAGGCAGGAGGAUCGCAAGGUGGAGGCCAGCCUCAACAAAUGAGCGGGGCCACAAGCAACUCAGCGCGACGUGGCUCCGUGGUCCAGGGCUCCUGACUUUAGUCCCCAGUACCCCCCCCAAAAAAAAAUACCCAGAAAGUGACCUUACUCCAAUGUCACAGAAGAAGAAUAGAAGCCACCAGAAGCCCCUCAUCUUCCUGUGACCAAGUGACCAGGCCUCUCUCUGCCCCUCCCUGGUGUCGCAAUGGAGGAGUUACUUGUUGCUUUGACCCGAGGUUAACCUUAGCCCGCGCUUGAACCUGACCCCUCGGUCCUUCCUUCCCGAGGGAGGCCGAGCCUCCGUCCCCUCCCUGCCUCCCUCCCCUCCCACACACACACACACACACACGUGCAAACUAUCUGUGACAGUGUCUCUGUCCCCUUGAUCCCUGUUAUUUUUCAACUGUGUUUUUGUGGUGCAGAGAGUAGAGGUCAGAUCUUCUCUUCUUCUUUCAUCUUUCCAAUAUUUUAUUUUAUUUUAUUAUUAUUUUUUGGGCACCAGGGAUG